rnacentral:tRNA from 1 species
UGGGAUGUAGCCUAGUAGUAGAGCACUUGCCUAGCAUGCAUGAGGCCCUGGGUUCCAUUCUUAGUACCACAC